GGGGGUGGCGAGCGUUACUCGGAUUUAUUGGGUGUAAAGGGCAGGUAGGUGGUAAGUAAGUUGGAUAGGGCAAUGCUGGAGGUUAACCGCAGAACUGCUUAAAUGCGUAGCUUGAGGCUAGAAGAGGGGAGAGGAAUUCCCGGUGUAAGGGUGAAAUCUGUAGAUAUCGGGAGGAACAUCCAGUGGCGAAAGCGGCUUCUAGGCUAGUCCUGACACUAAUCUGCGAAAGCUAGGGUAGCAAACAGGAUUAGAUACCCUGGUAGUCCUAGCCGUAAACGAUGAGCAAUAGGUGUUGGGGGUUAAUCUCUCAGCGCGGUAAGAUAACUAGUUAAGUGCUCCACCUGGGGACUAGGAACAAGCAAGGUUA
rnacentral:rRNA from 1 species